rnacentral:rRNA from 1 species
CACUCCUGCGGGAGGCAGCAGUGGGGAAUAUUGGACAAUGGGCGCAAGCCUGAUCCAGCCAUGCCGCGUGAGUGAUGAAGGCCCUAGGGUUGUAAAGCUCUUUCACCGGUGAAGAUAAUGACGGUAACCGGAGAAGAAGCCCCGGCUAACUUCGUGCCAGCAGCCGCGGUAAUACGAAGGGGGCUAGCGUUGUUCGGAUUUACUGGGCGUAAAGCGCACGUAGGCGGACUAUUAAGUCAGGGGUGAAAUCCCGGGGCUCAACCCCGGAACUGCCUUUGAUACUGGUAGUCUUGAGUUCGAGAGAGGUGAGUGGAAUUCCGAGUGUAGAGGUGAAAUUCGUAGAUAUUCGGAGGAACACCAGUGGCGAAGGCGGCUCACUGGCUCGAUACUGACGCUGAGGUACGAAAGCGUGGGGAGCAAACAGGAUUAGAUACCCCAGUAGUCCCAU